UGAAGGACUUUCAGUACCGGCGUCCCGCCC
rnacentral:sRNA from 1 species